rnacentral:misc_RNA from 1 species
AGUAACAAAGAAAGAAAAGAAGAGGACUUGGGAGGAGUGGCAGAGAGCUAAAGAGAAGAAGAAGCUCCAAGUAAAUUGGGAAAAGUAAAUAAAAUAAAAAUCUGCAUCAACUUUUAUUUAGCAAAGUGAAAUCUACAUCUACAUUAGGGAAAAUAUCAAACAAGUGUACUAACAAUGAAGAGAAAAAAAAAAAGACCAAUAAUGUUCUGAAGAGAGACUGCAGCCUUUCAAUACUUCAUAUUUUCACCUUGUCCCACUUCUCAGACCUCAGUACUCACCAGCUUAUCUUCUCUUCCUUUGGUUUCUG